UGUCACUUUAGCAGCACAUAAUACUAGAAUUAGAAUGACACAGAAAAGAUUAGCAUGGCCGCUGCACAAGGACGCAUUAUUAUUAUUUUUAAUGGACAAAAACACUU
rnacentral:snRNA from 1 species